UGCCAGCAGCCGCGGUAAUACGUAGGUGGCAAGCGUUGUCCGGAUUUACUGGGCGUAAAGAGUAUGUAGGUGGGCAUUUAAGUCAGAUGUGAAAUUCCCGGGCUUAACCUGGGAGCUGCAUUUGAAACUGGGUGCCUAGAGUGCAGGAGAGGAAAGUGGAAUUCCUAGUGUAGCGGUGAAAUGCGUAGAGAUUAGGAAGAACACCAGUGGCGAAGGCGACUUUCUGGACUGUAACUGACACUGAGAUACGAAAGCGUGGGUAGCAAACAGGAUUAGAUA
rnacentral:rRNA from 1 species